GUGCUUGCUUCCGCAGCACAUGUACUAAAACUGUAAUGAUAGAGAAGAUUAGCAUGGUCUCUGUGCUAGGAUGACAUGAAAAUUCAUGAAGUGUUUCAUAUUUUU